rnacentral:lncRNA from 1 species
ACAAGGUCUCACUAUGUUGCCUAGGCUGGUCUCGAACUCCUGGUUUCAAGCCAUCCUCCCGCCUCAGCCUCCAGACGUGCUGGGAUUACAGGGGGAAUUGCUGCUGCCUUGGGAAGGCCCCCAGGUGUGGGAGUGGCAGAGCUGGUGGUGACCCUGGCCCAGGUCAUCUGAAGCUACCCUUGUCCUGUGCUCCACAGCUAAAACAACCCUCAGUCCUCUCUGUCCUAUGACAAACAAGACACCGGUGAAGGGAUGAAGAUGGGCAGGCAGGGAUGGCCGGCAGUCCAUAGGAAUGCGGCUGUAACAGUGUCUGCUGCUGCUGUUGAUCACUGCUGGGCUGGGUCCAGCCAGGGCCACAUCCUUGGAGGCCUGAUACUCCACGCAGAUGGUGGUGCAGCCACCUGUCAGCUGUCAGGGCCUGGAGGCAUCUUUCAGCAACCUGAAGACUUUGCACCAUGUGAUGACAUGUGUUAAUGAGACGUGGGCCCUGCAAGGUGGCUCACGCCUGUAAUCCCAGCACUUUAGGAGGCCAACGCUGGAAAGUUGCUUGAUCCCAGGAGUUUGAGACCAGACUUGGCAACAUAGUGAGACCCUAUCUCUACUAAAAAUUAAAUAAACAAACAAAAAAAACUAGCCAGAUGUGGUAAUGUGCGCCUGUAGUCCUAGCUAAUUGGGAGGCUGAGGCGGAAAGAUUGCUGAAGCCCAGGUAUUCAAGGUUGCAGUGAGCUAUGAUCGUGCCACUGCACUCCAGCCUGGGUUAGACCCUGUCUCUAAAAGAAGAGAGAGAGAGACACGAGUAGUGCUCUAGAACCCCCAACCGUGGAGCCAUGCUCUCCCAGCCCCUGGAACCACCUGCCUGAGUCCCAUGCAGACCUGACUCUG